rnacentral:lncRNA from 1 species
UGUUUAUGUCAGGAAACUGAGCCAUGCAGAGAGCCCACAGAUCCAACAGGAUUCCCGUGGGCUGCCCACAUCUGCUCCUUUGUCUGUGCCUACCCUUGACCCAGUCUUGCCUUGCCGUGUCUGGGUGGUCUCACAUGAGGACAGCACAUGUGCAAAGAUGGGACAAGGACAGCCCAGAAGCAAGGAGAAACAGAAGUGAGCCCUGUGCACCAGUAACCAGUAUCUGGAAUCAUAAGUCCCAGAAUCAAGAACAUUGAUGCUGUCUCCAUCAGAAAUGGGCAUUAUAAGCAGAGAGAAGGGCAGCCCAGAAGGAGAGAACAGAGCUUUCCCCGGGAGUUAUUUGUGGUCAGAGAAUUUCAUACAACAAAAAGGGACACAGCUGCUAUCAACUGAGGAUUCCUGUUUCUGAAGAUUACAAAGCCAUGAUGUGUCAGGACAUCUCAGCCUGCUCUAGUUUGUCCCCCUCAAGCCCAUGUGGGAGCCUGAUCCUCAUUGUGAGGUAUUAAGAGGAUGGAAAUGUAAUCCAACUGUGGGGUUUGCAUG